rnacentral:rRNA from 1 species
UACGGAGGGUGCGAGCGUUGUCCGGAAUCAUUGGGCGUAAAGGGCGCGUAGGUGGCCUGUGCAAGCGUGCGGUGAAAGCUCGGGGCUCAACCCCGAGUCGGCCGUGCGAACUGCUGGGCUCGAGCACUGUAGAGGCAGGCGGAAUUCCGGGUGUAGCGGUGGAAUGCGUAGAGAUCCGGAAGAACACCGGUGGCGAAGGCGGCCUGCUGGGCAGUGGCCGACACUGAGGCGCGACAGCGUGGGGAGCAAACAGG